rnacentral:lncRNA from 1 species
UUGAUUCAAGCAAACUAUAGGAUAUUAAUUGACUUCAAAUUAGUGUUAUUGUGAUCUUUCCUUCAAGUUUUUUUUUUUCCUUUUUGAAAAGGAGACAGCUUCUUUAUUAUUAUAAACUCAAAGUACAAGAGAGCUAUACAAUGAGAAUAAUAGGAAAGCCAAGAAAUGGGGGAGAGAGAGAGGAUCAGAAGGUGCACCCAGACAACUCAACUAGGUUGACACCCCCAUAUCACCCUCAUCAUAUCCAAAAUACAAAGAACAAGAACAAUACUAAAGUCAUAAAAAGACCAAAGUAACAACCUAAAUAACAAUAGAAGCUACCUACGGUAGACAAAAUCAAGGCUGAAAAGUUAAAACAUAAUGGCAGAAAUACAUAUUAAAGCCCAUCCAAACUACAGAACUUCAAGUUUAUUUGGUUUCUUUACACGUUAAUUACAAUGCUUCCUCAUUGUUUUUCUUUUCAGUCCUUUGUUUGAACCUUGAGUUUUUUGAUAUUGAAUUUGUUUAUUUGUUUUCUUUAGUAUGUUAUAUUAGAAGUUUUUUAAAAAGAAAAUUUCCGUAGUUUUCAGUGAAUGAAGUAAAAUUGGACUUCUGAAGUAGUGUUGUUGUGCGAGCUGAACUCAGUAAAGUUGAUGAUAUUAUUUUAACAUUUGAGAUAAAUAUUAAUUACUUAAUUUGAUGAAAUUGGCACUAGAGAGUGUUGACGAUCUCCUCGUUUGGGCUUUUCGUUUUAGUUGGCAUUCGUUUUGUUAGUCUCAAAUUCCUGCCCAUGAAAUCCAGAACCAUGGAAGCCCCUUGGUUACAGAAAUAAUAGGAUUGUUGGUAGAAUAUUAGUAUGGUUAUUACUUAUUAGAAGGGACAAAAUAGUAAUUAGUUAGGGUUUUUUGUUCUAAAUAUAAGGUGUGGGCUGAAAGGAAGAGUGGAGAAUUUUAUGGGAUUUCCUUGUGAGGAAAUUUGGGAGAGUCUAGCCCUCUCGAAAGGCUAGUGGUUACCUUGUUGUUCUUAUGAUAUUAUAACAUAUUAUCAAUAUAUUUCCAUAUAAUUCUAUCUUUUUGUGUUCCUUGUGACUCUUUGUGUUCUUGCGUUUUUUAUUGUUAAGAGGGGAAAUGUGAGAUCCUAACAAGCCAAUCUCUUCAUUUUCUUCUAGGAGAAAAACACCCAUUAAUGGAAAUUUAGAACACAUACUCUUGGUAGGAAAUGGAUUAGCAUUUACCAAUCUCUGACAGAAAAGAACACUAAAUGGAUUAGCAUUUACCAGCUGUCAUGGUGUGCCGAUUAUUUUAUUACUAAUCUUUUAAUUUUGGACAUGGCUGGGACACGGCUUUGACACGAAAACUGUACACUUGGAAAUAAAAUAAUUAAAACUAACAUUUGCCCAAAAGCCCAGCCCAAAGACGCAUCAACCCCACAUUUUAGGGUUAUUAUUACUGUCCCUGUCCUUUUCUUUUCCACAAAAACAGACCUCCCACAGCUACAAUAUCUCUCAUUUCUCCAUGCCCAAAAAUUCACACCCAAACCUUCAUGCAUAAAUUCAUGAAUUUUAUGGUGUUUAACUUAUUAUCUGAUGUUUUUAAAUGGAAUAUCUGACAAUAUGUUUAUAUGCUGGACAUAUGCUUAAUUAUUUUAAUAAGAAAAUAACGUGUCACCAACGUGUCGUGUCCUACUUUUAUUUUAAAUUGGUGUAUUUUCGUGUUGGCUCCCUUAAUGUCCAUUCCUCUCAGAUUUGGAAAAUAAGGGAGCGACUAUUCUUUUAAAUGAUCAGACAGGAGGAAGGCAAGCUGUGAGAUUAUCCAUAUUUGUUUUCCCAAGUUGGUGAUCUUACAUUUAAAUCUUAGAGAGCUUCUUAGUCAAUAUAAACAACUUGUUUAACAUCAUCAAGAGUCUUUCAAAGAACCUGAAGAUGUUAGAGAUGUGACAUCAAAUGAUGAGUCCGCUGGAGAGAGACAUAGGUUAAUUGGUGGCCCAGAUGGAACCUCGCUGUUUGGAGAAUAAAAUGUUAGUUCCUAGUGACAGUUUAGUUUUAUUGUUAUGCACAGGAUAACCUUCAAAAAGACGUAUUGGUGAAGGCAUGGGAUAUAAUUAAUUUGUUAUUAAUUGAAGAUCACUUAAUAUCACCUACUUGAGAGUUGAGAUAGUAUAAUAGUUAAUACCUUAAGUGACUUGCUACAUAAUACUUUGGACUAUUUAGUUUGGGCAAUUUCAAUCUCAAACUUGGGAGACUCAUAAGAUUUGUAUGCCUAAUAAAUAAUGCAUGAUGCAUAUGUGUAUCUAUGAGGGUGCUUCAAUUUUCCAAGUUUUAGAUCAAUAUUUUUUGUUACUGUAUAUUGAAAGAGUUUGGCUAACGUUGAUUUUUUUUCUCUAGAGACAAGUCUUUAUCAUGUGUGAGGAUAUUGAUUGUUGAGUUUGAAAAGUAAUAUACACAUGCAUAAAAUUUUGGCUGAACACUUUAUAUCGGCAGCUUUAUUGUAUCAUUUUCGAAUAAUGCUCCCGAUCCUGAAAGGGAUAGUGCUUCUGUCCAAGAAUUCUUUGCCAAAAUGGAGGGAGCUUUCAGAGCUCAUCCACUUUGGUCUGGUUGCUCGGAAGAAGAGCUGGAAAGUGCUGGUGAGGUGAGUUCACUACUUUUGAGCAUGUGAAGCAAAUAAUUAAUUUUCAGCGUUUAAAAGAUCUGGACAAGGAGACUUCUAUUUGAAACAUAAUGUACAGUACAUUUAAUAUUGUUAAAUAUAGUAAUAAAAUUAACCUACAUGUAAAUGAGCAACGCACAUACCGUUCCCAUGUGCAUACAAAACAAACUUCACAUAAUUAAUGAUACCAAGAUAACUAAACCAAGAUCUUUUAUCUUUGUGCAUAUUUUUGAGAAAACUUGCAAAUUAUCUUUCUAAAGGGAUCGUAUAUUAUGUAAAUUUGCAAUAGCACAGGGUUUAUGUCCAAAGUAUUUACUGCUUAAGUGAUUUAUUAUUUCGAACAUUUAUUCUCUUUUCUAAUCCACACUGUCUAUUAAAUACAGGGAUUGGAGAAGUAUGUCAUGACAAAGUUAUUUUCUCGUGUCUAUGCUUCACUUGCAGAUGAUGUCAAAAUAGAUGAACAAAUUUCUGAAAAAAUGGCAUUGAUUCAACAGUUCAUUAGGCCAGAAAAUUUGGAUAUCAAACCAAAUUUCCAAAAUGAAACAUCAUGGUUGGUGAGUCAAGUUAUCUUCAUAUAGUUUUUGCAAUUUUCAUCUCCUCUCUCUUAAACUUUGGAUCCUUCUGAUUCUUUAUUUGGGCAUAAAUCAUACUUUGAAGUUCUUUUGAUACAUUUUGCCAGCACAAGAAUUUUUCAUCAAGUGAUGCUCUAUCCAGCGAAUUUAACUGAAAUUUGUAAAAACAUUUCUCCUCAGCAUAUCAUCUAUUAAACGUUUGCAUAUUUUAUCUGGAUAUUCAAGUAUAGUUAAAAAUGUCACACAAAUAAAUUUUCUGUAUCUUUGUUGCUUCCUUAUUCUUUGGUAAUGCCAAAGUGUAGUUGGAAUUGUUAGAGAACCAAUUCUGGGAUCAGUUGAUGCCUAUCCAUAAUGAACAUAAAAGAAUUUUACACGAACGUAAUAUUUUAAUGUAUAUUCACUUGAAAUGAUUAUGAAACCCCCCUAGGUUCUGGAAAAUUCUCAAGUUAUAUUUUAUGUUUUCCAUGAGGAAAUGGUGGGAGAAAGACGAUGAAAUACAAAGCUUUUUGACACAUUCUUUUUAUGGAAAGAUGAAUGAAGUUUCUUCCACACAGGCUUGUUCUCACUCUCUACUCUGAUAAAAGAAUUUCUUUAAUUCAAUUUUUUAACGGAUCUUGUCUUUAAUAACUCAAACUUUCUUUUUUGAAUUAGGUCAUACCUGACAUUUUAGUAUGUGGAAUUUUCCACCUGAAUCUUUGCAGGUCAUUAAUACAAGUCUCACCUCCAUGUUUACGUUUUAUUGACAGCUUGCUCAGAAAGAACUCCUGAAGAUUAACAUGCACAAAGCUCCAAGAGAUAAGCUUGUGUGUCUUCUCAGUUGUUGUAAGGUCAUCAGUAACUUGCUAUUUAAUGCUUCGAUUGCUUCAAAUGAGAAUCCUCCAGGGGCUGACGAAUUUCUUCCUGUCCUCAUUUAUGUUAUUAUAAAGGUGAUGUUUAAAAUGAUUAUUUAAUGUCAUAUCUAAUGAUGUGAUUACUUGUGAUGCUCUUUGGACUAUAGCAUGAACUCUUACGUGUCAGCAUUUGAUAUUAUGGUAUUUUCAUUGAACACCAGCAAAUUCUAGUCAUAUCUAUUUGGCAUUAACAUGAAAAGUUAGUCUUAUAUACUACAAACUAUUUGUUUCAUAUCUUAUAAGAUAGCUAUUGAUGUAUAAAAUGUAGAAACUUAUCACAUCAUGCUCAUAAAUGUGUUUUUUCAUGCACAAUCUCUUGUAGGCAAACCCUCCACAACUGCAUUCAAAUUUAUUGUAUAUACAACGAUACAGGGGUCAAUCCCGAUUAACUGGAGAAGCAGCAUAUUUUUUCACAAAUGUACUCUCUGCCGAGUCAUUUAUCUCAAACAUUGAUGCAAAGGCCCUCUCAAUGGAAGAAAUUGAGUUUGAAAAAAACAUGGAAUCUGCUCGAGCUCUCCUGUCUGGGCUCUCUAGUGAUGUUGAAGCUCUUUCUAACAAAAAUAACUUGGAUGAAGGGGUAGGCCAUUAUUCAGAACUUGUAGAAACCAGUUCUCAAGCUUCUGUUGAAUCUCCAGUUAGACCUAAACCCACUGAAGGGAAGCCUAGAACUGAGGCACCACAUGCCAAAGAUCAAUCAGCAGUAAUGAAAGUUCCAUCCCUCUCAGAUUUGGAAAAUAAGGGAGCGACUAUUCUUUUAAAUGAUCAGACAGGAGGAAGGCAAGCGUUGCGGGAGUAUCCAUAUUUGUUUUCCCAAGUUGGGGAUCUUACAUUUAAAGAUGUAGAAGAGCUUCUUAGUCAAUAUAAACAACUUGUUUUCAAGUAUGUUUCCCUUUCUAGAGGUCUGAGUCUGACAACUGAAUUUUCAUCCUAUUCAAAAUCUGAAAUGCACUCCCAACAUCAUCACGAGUCUUUCAAAGAACCUGAAGAUGUUAGAGAUGUGACAUCAAAUGAUGAAUCCGCUGGAGAUAG